GAUGAACGCUGGCGGCGUGCCUAAUACAUGCAAGUCGAGCGAACAGACGAGGAGCUUGCUCCUCUGACGUUAGCGGCGGACGGGUGAGUAACACGUGGAUAACCUACCUAUAAGACUGGGAUAACUUCGGGAAACCGGAGCUAAUACCGGAUAAUAUAUUGAACCGCAUGGUUCAAUAGUGAAAGACGGUUUUGCUGUCACUUAUAGAUGGAUCCGCUCCGCAUUAGCUAGUUGGUAAGGUACCGGCAUACCAAGGCAACGAUGCGUAGCCGACCUGAAAGGGUGAUCGGCCACACUGGAACUGAGACAGGGUCCAGACUCCUACGGGGGGCAGCAGUAGGGAAUCUUACGCAAUGGGCGAAAGCCUGACGGAGCAAAGCCGCGUGAGUGAUGAAGGUCUUCGGAUCGUAAAACUCUGUUAUUAGGGAAGAACAAAUGUGUAAGUAACUAUGCACGUCUUGACGGUACCUAAUCAGAAAGCCACGGCUAACUACGUG
rnacentral:rRNA from 1 species